GAUGAACGCUGGCGGCGUGCUUAACACAUGCAAGUCGAACGAAGCACUUUUGAUUCUUCGGAAAAGAAAGUGACUGAGUGGCGGACGGGUGAGUAACGCGUGGGUAACCUGCCUUAUACAGGGGGAUAACAGUUGGAAACGACUGCUAAUACCGCAUAAGCCGACAGGGCCGCAUGGCCUGGUUGGAAAAGAUUUAUCGGUAUAAGAUGGACCCGCGUCUGAUUAGCUAGUUGGUGAGGUAAUGGCUCACCAAGGCGACGAUCAGUAGCCGGCUUGAGAGAGUGAACGGCCACAUUGGGACUGAGACACGGCCCAAACUCCUACGGGAGGCAGCAGUGGGGAAUAUUGCACAAUGGGGGAAACCCUGACGCAGCAACGCCGCGUGAAGGAAGAAGUAUUUCGGUAUGUAAACUUCUAUCAGCAGGAAAGAAAAUGACGGUACCUGACUAAGAAGCCCCGGCUAACUACGUGCCAGCCGCCGCAGUAA
rnacentral:rRNA from 1 species